AACAGGAUUAGAUACCCUGGUAGUCCACGCCGUAAACGAUGUCGACUUGGAGGUUGUGCCCUUGAGGCGUGGCUUCCGGAGCUAACGCGUUAAGUCGACCGCCUGGGGAGUACGGCCGCAAGGUUAAGACUCAAAUGAAUUGACGGGGGCCCGCACAAGCGGUGGAGCAUGUGGUUUAAUUCGAUGCAACGCGAAGAACCUUACCUGGUCUUGACAUCCACGGAAGUUUUCAGAGAUGAGAAUGUGCCUUCGGGAACCGUGAGACAGGUGCUGCAUGGCUGUCGUCAGCUCGUGUUGUGAAAUGUUGGGUUAAGUCCCGCAACGAGCGCAACCCUUAUCCUUUGUUGCCAGCGGUCCGGCCGGGAACUCAAAGGAGACUGCCAGUGAUAAACUGGAGGAAGGUGGGGAUGACGUCAAGUCAUCAUGGCCCUUACGACCAGGGCUACACACGUGCUACAAUGGCGCAUACAAAGAGAAGCGACCUCGCGAGAGCAAGCGGACCUCAUAAAGUGCGUCGUAGUCCGGAUUGGAGUCUGCAACUCGACUCCAUGAAGUCGGAAUCGCUAGUAAUCGUGGAUCAGAAUGCCACGGUGAAUACGUUCCCGGGCCUUGUACACACCGCCCGUCACACCAUGGGAGUGGGUUGCAAAAGAAGUAGGUAGCUUAACCUUCGGGAGGGCGCUUACCACUUUGUGAUUCAUGACUGGGGUGAAGUCGUAACAAGGUAACC
rnacentral:rRNA from 1 species